AUUUGUUCAUGGGUCAGAUUGUUUGUUUGGUCUUAUGGUUUAGACGUUUGUCCUGACUGUUUUGGUAUGUUUAUAUAGUACUUUUGGAAUGCGAUAUGAUUCUUUUUGGGUUUUUUAGUUCACGCAUUCAUUCUAAGAAUCUUGAUAUCCGGCUGUGUUGUUGUAGAUUUGUAAGUUUUUUGCUUGGGAGCCAUCUAUUCAGCCAUGUUGGAGUAGGCUAUAUGAUUUUUUCAGUUCUGACCACGUAUGCUUCUUCCUUGGUCUAUUCACCAAGUCAUGGACACCGACUCAAAAAAUGAACAAGGUUACCCCUUCAGCUGCAGGUGCAGGGUUGACGGUGACACUGCAGAUGUAGCUUCUCUGACCGCUACCGAAGACACCGCUGAACAGCUUAACCAGACAAAGACAAAGUGCUGUUAUGUAGGCAUGGUUUAAAAACUAGAGCCUUUGGCUGGUCAAGUACCCUUGCCAAAGCGUUCGUGUAAUCUCUUCAAGUUGUAUGAAGCAAAUUCUAUGUAUGUAACACCCAGGAAGAAUAUUAUAGUAAUUAUAUAGAAGCAGAGAAUCAACCUUGCUAGAGCGUUUGUCAAAUAUCUACUCGAGUAGCCUUGCCAAACUUUAUCUGAUGUGUUCUUCACAUGUUGUUUCA